UACGUAGGGGCCUAGCGUUGUCCGGAAUUAUUGGGCGUAAAGAGCUCGUAGGCGGUCUGUUGCGUCGGCUGUGAAAACCCGGGGCUCAACUCCGGGCCUGCAGCCGAUACGGGCAGACUAGAGUUCGGCAGGGGAGACUGGAAUUCCUGGUGUAGCGGUGAAAUGCGCAGAUAUCAGGAGGAACACCAGUGGCGAAGGCGACUUACUGGACACAUAUUGACGCUGAGGUGCGAAAGCGUGGGGAGCAAACAGG
rnacentral:rRNA from 1 species